rnacentral:lncRNA from 10 species
GCACCAUGGGGUAGAUAGGCAAAACAAUUUGGUUGAUAAGGCGCAGAUGCUGAACUAACUUGUAAGCCUUGUCUGGUUUUAGGACAGCAUCUCAGGGUUGCUGCCGAACGAGCCAUGAACUGGGCUGGCUUUUUAUAUUUGAUAAAAAAGCCUAAACGCUUCUGAUUUGGGAUAAAGAAAAAGGAGCAUUAACCUUGACUAUGCCUUUGGCUCCAGCCACCUUUUUAAGAGUAAAUGCUGGGCAGGUGGGGGAGGGCUAGUCACAGA